CAAAGCGGAUCCUCGCUUAGCGAUGUCAUAACCAGCAACAAGCGCUCUGUUUUCUCCUUCGCAGAGGUUUGCUGCCGAGCACUGAUGGGGGAAGAUCGUCCAUCUCUGCACUGUUCACCUCUGCCCAUUUUCUCCUGAGAAGCUUUGCCACUAUAAAUGUAUAAUUCCACCCCCAUCCCCCCCCCCGAACGUCGCUUGGAUUUAGCUCCAUCUCCUCGUCUUUUAGACGUGUCUUAAUCUGGGCUUGCGCCGUCCUUCCCUCCGCUGAACAGGAGGAGUGAAAAUCGCAGUUUACCCGCUGCGAGCCGCACGCACAAGGGCUGGAUUGUGGGCCGGAUGGAGAUUAAGGGGAAAACUCCAGGAAAAAAGCAGCAGAGCAACGAGAGACGCUUCUAUACUUCGAAAUGCAAAAGAAAGCAACCGUGGGCUGUGUUCAAGAGCCGGCCUGGGACUGAUGGCACCCAAACCCCGCAAUUCGAAAUGAGUUUGAUGGGAUUUAAGGCUACUUCUGCGAACUUCAGGCGAGGCGAAAAAUAACCCGAGCGCCUGAAGUUGCUCGAGAAGCUCAUCUCGCCCAGCGUCAACUUUCCUCUCUCCUUUAAUUUCCCAAUAAAUAUGCAAAUCGAUUCGUCCCCACAAAUGAGGGAACGGGGAAAAUAAAUAAAUGACAGAAUUGCGGUUCGCUUCGGACUUUCGCCUCCGUUGGAGGUUUGGGUGAGAACGGAAACGGCAGCGGGUUGGGGUUGGUCCCCGUGUUUUCCCUUCUCCAUUCCC